rnacentral:misc_RNA from 1 species
GAAAUGCGAUAAGUAGUGUGAAUUGCAGAAUUCAGUGAAUCAUCGAAUCUUUGAACGCACAUUGCGCCCCUCGGUAUGCCGGGGGGCAUGCCUGUUCGAGCGUCAUUUCUACCACUCAAGCUUUGCUUGGUUUUGGGUUUUAUAGGCUUAUUAAUUUAUGUGCUAUAUACCUUAAAUAUAGACGGCAGCAAGUAUAACGAGUUCUUGGCGUAGCAGUUUAAAAUAUUCCGCUUUAAGAACAUGAUAUAUAGCUUACCACAAAAGUAAUAUUUAUAGUUUGACCUCGGAUCAGGCAGGGAUACCCGCUGAACUUAA